rnacentral:lncRNA from 1 species
AUGAUUGUAUCUAAUUCCAGGAGAAAGGAACAAAAGAGCCAGUGUACAGUGCCAAGUAGCAGGAGGUCAAAAGGGGCCAAACCAAUCCAGAGAAAUUUCUGGAAAAGAAACUUGCCAACAUCCCAAAUCAAGAAAGAGGAUCCUUUUGGAGAAGGUGCUGUCAAGAUGUCUGCAGAAGCCACACACUGCAUCAAAAGAUCCAGAAUUAACUUUGGGAUAUAAUGAAUUGAAUUGAAGGGGGUUGAACAUAGUUAUUCUAAAUGUGAACUCUUAUGCCAAAGGGGACUGCCCCCUAAUUGGCAUUUUGUCAAUGUGUUUGUCAAUGUGUCUGUCAAUCUGUUUUUUUCUCCUCAUAUUUCCUUCUUAUCUCUAACUAUUAUAACUUCCUCUUAGAAUGUGCAAUAUUGUAUGUACUUUUAGCUAGAAGGUAUUUUAGAGGUAUAAGAUAGUUAUGUUUAAAUGAUCCUUUGGGGAGACUAAUCUCCCAAAUUAUCACGGGGGGAUUGUGUUAAGAGGAUCUUAUCCUCGUGGACCCAGUUCGUCAACAUUCUUCACAUACCAGAGUUGUGUCCAAAAAAUCUGUGAACAUCUGUGAGCAUCAAUAAAAGAAAGUAGACAGGGCCCA